CACGUGAGUAACCUGCCCUUAACUCUGGGAUAAGCCUUGGAAACGGGGUCUAAUACUGGAUAUUGACUUUUCCUCGCAUGGGGAUUGGUUGAAAGAUUUAUUGGUUUUGGAUGGACUCGCGGCCUAUCAGCUUGUUGGUGAGGUAAUGGCUCACCAAGGCGACGACGGGUAGCCGGCCUGAGAGGGUGACCGGCCACACUGGGACUGAGACACGGCCCAGACUCCUACGGGAGGCAGCAGUGGGGAAUAUUGCACAAUGGGCGAAAGCCUGAUGCAGCGACGCCGCGUGAGGGAUGACGGCCUUCGGGUUGUAAACCUCUUUCAGUAGGGAACAAGGCCAGUGUUUAGCUGGUUGAGGGUACUUGCAGAAGAAGCGCCGGCUAACUACGUGCCAGCAGCCGCGGUAAUACGUAGGGCGCAAGCGUUAUCCGGAAUUAUUGGGCGUAAAGAGCUCGUAGGCGGUUUGUCGCGUCUGCCGUGAAAGUCCGGGGCUCAACCCCGGAUCUGCGGUGGGUACGGGCAGACUAGAGUGAUGUAGGG
rnacentral:rRNA from 1 species